rnacentral:rRNA from 1 species
AGAGUUUGAUCCUGGCUCAGGACGAACGCUGGCGGCAUGCCUAAUACAUGCAAGUCGAACGCUGAAGCACUCUGCUUGCAGAGUGCGGAUGAGUGGCGAACGGGUGAGUAACACGUGGGAAAUCUGCCUAGGAGUGGGGGAUAACAUUCGGAAACGGAUGCUAAUACCGCAUAUCUUUUUGAACCGCAUGGUUCUUAAACGAAAGACGGCUUCGGCUGUCGCUCUUAGAUGAUCCCGCGGCGUAUUAGUUAGUUGGUGGGGUAAAGGCCUACCAAGACCAUGAUACGUAGCCGACCUGAGAGGGUGAUCGGCCACACUGGGACUGAGACACGGCCCAGACUCCUACGGGAGGCAGCAGUAGGGAAUCUUCCACAAUGGGUGAAAACCUGAUGGAGCAAUGCCGCGUGAAUGAAGAAGGUCUUCGGAUCGUAAAGUUCUGUUAUUAGAGAAGAACAAGUCAAGGAGUAACUGUCUUGACUUUGACGGUACCUAACCAGAAAGUCACGGCUAACUACGUGCCAGCAGCCGCGGUAAUACGUAGGUGACAAGCGUUGUCCGGAAUUAUUGGGCGUAAAGGGAGCGCACGCGGUUGGAAUAGUCUGAUGUGAAAGCCCACGGCUUAACCCGUGGAAGGUCAUUUGGAAACUUGUCCCACUUGAAAUAAAAAAAAGGUAAAGUUGGAAUUCCAAGUGUGACGGUGAAAUGCGUUUAAUGUUGGGGAGGACCACCGGGGGCAAAGGCAAUUUGCGGGUCUGUAAUUUAACCUGAAGGUCAAAAGCGGGGGAUAAAAAAAGGAAUUAAAAACCCU